UGCGUAGGCGGAUUUAUAAGUCAGUGGUGAAAUCUCAUAGCUUAACUAUGAAACUGCCAUUGAUACUGCAGGUCUUGAGUAAGGUAGAAGUAGCUGGAAUAAGUAGUGUAGCGGUGAAAUGCAUAGAUAUUACUUAGAACACCAAUUGCGAAGGCAGGUUACUAUGUCUUAACUGACGCUGAUGGACGAAAGCGUGGGGAGCGAACAGGAUUAGAUACCCUGGUAGUCC
rnacentral:rRNA from 1 species